AGGAUAAACGCUGGCGGCGUGCCUAACACAUGCAAGUCGAACGCGCUUUCGGGCUUCGGUGCGAGAGCGAGUGGCGGACGGGUGAGUAACACAUGGGUACCUACCUUGGAGUGAGGGAUACCGGCGAGAAAUCGCCGACAAUACCGCAUAGGCUUCUUCACAAGGGAAGCAAAGUGACGCGAGUCACGCUGUGAGAUGGGCCUGUGGCCGAUUAGCUAGUUGGGGGGGUAACGGCUUCCCAAGGCGACGAUCGGUAGCUGGUCUGAGAGGACGAUCAGCCACACUGGGAUUGAGAACGGCCCAGACUCCUACGGGGGCAGCAGUGAGGAAUUUUCCGCAAUGGAGGCAACUCUGACGGAGCAACGCCGCGUGCAGGAGGAAGGUUUUCGGAUCGUAAACUGCUUUUCGUCGGGGACGAGCAAGGACGGUACCCGAGGAACGAAGCCCCGGCUAACUACGUGCCAGCAGCCGC
rnacentral:rRNA from 1 species